ACCGUUAAAAACACUCGAAUUUGUCAAGGUAUCCGUGACAAUGUGUCACCCAUUUCUCCACAUUACCCAGAGGUGUGAAAUACGCUAAUUGACUCUUCACGUAGCACAAAGAAAGUAGUUAUUGCCCGUUAGUCGUGUUCCGAACUUCAGAAAAGCAACAUAGGACACUGUGGUCAAAAUUCAAAAUGUUUAGUGCACAACUUAUUAAAGCUUUGUUAGCGAUAUCCCUCUUCUCCAGCUUAACAGAAGCGUAUUAUCUAAACCCGAACUAUGAAUGUGGUCAGUACGGGUUCACGUGCGAACGAAACAAUAGGGUGAGAAUAUGUGAAGGAACUAAAUUAGUUGGACCUGCGUUUGUCUGUCCACUCGGAACUUUCUGCAACGAAGAGUCCACUUCGGUUUGCGAAGAUGCCAUCAACUUCAUUGACCCAGCGUUAACCAGAAGCCUCCGCUGCCAUCGAAACGAAAGAAUCGCUAAUCCCAACGUCCCAGGAUGUAAAGGAUACAUCCUCUGCGUCCCCAAUGGAAGUCGUUUCCAAGGCAUAAACUUCAAGUGUUCAGGAAAUACAAUUUUUAACGGAUUUACCAGAACUUGCACAUCACCACAAAAAUACAAGUGUCCCGUAAGCAACUCUACGAAAACGAAUCCCGAAUUGUUUGGAUCUGAUAACCGAAAGGAUCCCCUGUUUAGCGAUGACAAACAAAGCUUGAGCAAUCGAUUCUCAGGACAGCGACCCAUGCCUAUCGAAUGCAAGAAUUAUAAGUUUAGAGUGACACAAGAGGAUACUCCCAAUACUGUAACGUAUUUCUGCCCUCCACGACCUGUGAGAGGUGAAUCAUCAAUUCGAUGCACAAUAUUUUCUAAUAAUUUCUGCGUCACCUUAGAAAGAGAUGAUGAGGACCAGUUCAUCGUAGACAGCGGCGCACCAUCCCGAAGACCACGAAUGUAACUAUACAAUCAAUACUUCAUCACACGAAGACUGAAUACACGCCUGCAGUAUUUACUGUUUGGAGAAAAUAAAAGAUCUGCAUUUAUGUAAAUAUAUAAGUUGUAAACAGGUACAUUUAUUUUAUAUAAAAAAAAAACUUAAGGUUAAAUCAAUUAAAGUAAAUUUAAAAAUACAUUAGUUUAUUUUACAAUAUCUACAUAAGACGGACAAGCUUGAAAUACUUCAAAAAUAAAGUAAUCCUGUAUUUGAACAAUUAACAUUCCCCGCUAUCAGAUUCUACGCACUUUUUCUUCUUUUUAUCGUACACUUCGUCAGUGGGACAUUUCUUGAUUUUCCAUUGAUAAUCACUUUUAAUUUUAGUACAAACGUAAUAUUUUUUGCAAUCCUUAUCGUAUGGAAAUUUACCUUCACUCUCACAUUCAAAAGCUGUUUUGGUAAUUUUAUCAGUUUUAAUUUUGACUGUAGUACUCUCUUCAUUAUUUGCUUCGCUAAUAGAAGAUGCUGAUUGAGUUGAUAUCUCUUCGUCUUUUUCGCAUUUAACUGUUUCCUUGUUUAAAUGAUAACCACUCUGGCAUUUUAGUUUAUACCGGAUAAAACCAUGGAUAUUAUUUUUAACACAAAUGUAAUAAAUAUUAUCUUUGAAGAAGUCACUAAACCUUCCCUCUAAUAAACAUCGGAACUGAUUGUUUCGCACGCAAUGCGAUAAAUUUCUCGUACACUGUUUAUUAAUUUCGCUAAACACGGUGUUGUUUGGACAAGUUCCUAUCAUAGGCUGGAGAUUGCCUAUACAAGUAUAGAAUUUUCUACAAUCUCUUUUAUCAGAGUAUUUACCGCGAGUACGAUUUAAACAACUAAAAACUUGUGGAGUAGAUACGGAAAUAGAA